rnacentral:lncRNA from 1 species
ACGCCCCGAGCCCGCCUCUUUGGUCGGAUUCGGGCACGCCAACAGACCGCCGAACGGACAGGAUUUCCCCUGUACCGCGGACAGAGUCUCCCCUGUACGUUCAAGGCGUCGCAAUCAUUACAAUGUACGAAGUUCCAACCAGGAACACAUUUCAACCAAAGAUUGCAUAAGGAAGUAUCAAAAACAUAAAUCUACUUGCUAUUACAAGCAUUCACAUUCAUACAUUUUUACAUCACAAUUCU